ACUCCUGCGGGAGGCAGCAGUGGGGAAUAUUGGACAAUGGGCGCAAGCCUGAUCCAGCCAUGCCGCGUGAGUGAUGAAGGCCCUAGGGUUGUAAAGCUCUUUCACCGGUGAAGAUAAUGACGGUAACCGGAGAAGAAGCCCCGGCUAACUUCGUGCCAGCAGCCGCGGUAAUACGAAGGGGGCUAGCGUUGUUCGGAUUUACUGGGCGUAAAGCGCACGUAGGCGGACUAUUAAGUCAGGGGUGAAAUCCCGGGGCUCAACCCCGGAACUGCCUUUGAUACUGGUAGUCUUGAGUUCGAGAGAGGUGAGUGGAAUUCCGAGUGUAGAGGUGAAAUUCGUAGAUAUUCGGAGGAACACCAGUGGCGAAGGCGGCUCACUGGCUCGAUACUGACGCUGAGGUGCGAAAGCGUGGGGAGCAAACAGGAUUAGAAACCCUGGUAGUCCCA
rnacentral:rRNA from 1 species